rnacentral:rRNA from 1 species
UACGUAGGGAGCAAGCGUUGUCCGGAUUCACUGGGUGUAAAGGGUGCGCAGGCGGAUUUGUAAGUCAGAGGUGAAAUCUCACGGCUUAACCGUGAAACUGCCUUUGAUACUGCAGAUCUUGAGUUUGGGAGAGGUUGAUGGAAUUCCAGGUGUAGCGGUGAAAUGCGCAGAUAUCAGGAGGAACACCAAUUGCGAAGGCAGCUCGCUGGGACGUUACUGACGCUGAGACGCGAAAGCGUGGGGAGCAAACAGG